UUCGGAGAGUGUAUAAAGUGGCGCACGGGUGAGUAACACGUAGGUAAUGUACCUUUNGGGUGGGGAACAACUUAGGGAAACUUAAGCUAAUACCGCAUAAUGCAGCGGCUCGACAUCGAGACAGUUGUUAAAGAUUUAUCGCCUAAAGAGCAGCCUGCGGCAGAUUAGCUAGUUGGUAAGGUAAUGGCUUACCAAGGCUACGAUCUGUAACCGACCUGAGAGGGUGGUCGGUCACACUGACACUGAAUAACGGGUCAGACUCCUACGGGAGGCAGCAGUCGGGAAUUUUGGGCAAUGGGCGAAAGCCUGACCCAGCAACGCCGCGUGAAGGAUGAAGUAUUUCGGUAUGUAAACUUCGUAAGAAUAGGAAGAAUAAAUGACGGUACUAUUUGUAAGGUCCGGCUAACUACGUGCCAGCAGCCGCGGUAAUACGUAGGGACCAAGCGUUGUUCGGAUUUACUGGGCGUAAAGGGCGCGUAGGCGGCGUGGUAAGUCAGCUGUGAAAUCUCCGAGCUUAACUCGGAACGGUCAGCUGAUACUGCUGUGCUAGAGUACAGAAAGGGCAAUCGGAAUUCUUGGGUGUAGCGGUGAAAUGCGUAGAUAUCAAGAGGAACACCUGAGGCGAAGGCGGGUUGCUAGGCUGAUACUGACGCUGAGGCGCGAAAGCUAGGGUAGCAAACGGGAUUAGAUACCCCGGUAGUCCUAGCCCUAAACGAUGAAUGCUU
rnacentral:rRNA from 1 species